rnacentral:rRNA from 1 species
GACGAACGCUGGCGGCGUGCUUAACACAUGCAAGUCGAACGGUAAGGCCCUUCGGGGUACACGAGUGGCGAACGGGUGAGUAACACGUGGGUGAUCUGCCCUGCACUUCGGGAUAAGCCUGGGAAACUGGGUCUAAUACCGGAUAGGACUACGGACUGCAUGGUCUGGGGUGGAAAGCUUUUGCGGUGUGGGAUGGGCCCGCGGCCUAUCAGCUGGUUGGUGGGGUGAUGGCCUACCAAGGCGACGACGGGUAGCCGGCCUGGAGAGGGUGACCGGCCACACUGGGACUGAGAUACGGCCCAGACUCCUACGGGAGGCAGCAGUGGGGAAUAUUGCACAAUGGGCGCAAGCCUGAUGCAGCGACGCCGCGUGAGGGAUGACGGCCUUCGGGUUGUAAACCUCUUUCAGCAUCGACGAAGCGAAAGUGACGGUAGGUGCAGAAGAAGGACCGGCCAACUACGUGCCAGCAGCCGCCGUAA